AAUCCAGACUCCUACGGGAGGCAGCAGUGGGGAAUAUUGCACAAUGGGGGAAACCCUGAUGCAGCGACGCCGCGUGAAGGAAGAAGUAUUUCGGUAUGUAAACUUCUAUCAGCAGGGAAGAAAAUGACGGUACCUGAGUAAGAAGCCCCGGCUAACUACGUGCCAGCAGCCGCGGUAAUACGUAGGGGGCAAGCGUUAUCCGGAUUUACUGGGUGUAAAGGGAGCGUAGACGGCAGUGCAAGUCUGGAGUGAAAGGCGGGGGCUCAACCCCCGGACUGCUCUGGAAACUGUGCGGCUGGAGUGCAGGAGAGGUAAGUGGAAUUCCUAGUGUAGCGGUGAAAUGCGUAGAUAUCUGGAGGAACAUCAGUGGCGAAGGCGACUAUCUGGCACAUAACUGACGCUGAGGAGCGAAAGCGUGGGUAGCAAACAGGAUUAGAUACCCCAGUA
rnacentral:rRNA from 1 species